ensembl:lncRNA
GCCGGGGCACCGGCACCCGUCGUGUCCUCGGCCGGGCUGGGGCAUCUCCAGGGAUCCCUCACAGGGUUCCCGGGUUGUACCUGUGUCCCUUCGGGAUCCAGGAAUCGAUCUCUCCCUGGGUCCCCUUGAUGUCCUUGUGUCUCUUAGGGAUCCAGGAAUUCGUGACAGGGUUCCCAGAAUGUGCCUGUGUCUCGUUAGCCUGUACAGGGAUCCUGUGAUCCCGCAGGGUCCCUGGGAUGCCCCUGUGUCCCUUUAAAUGCGCCCAGGACUGGAAAGCCGGAGAUUUAGACCCGAAUUUUUUUUUUUAUGUGCUCUUAAUGAUAUUUAUUGUUAAUGGCUAGAUGGGAAACUGAUUUAUUUUCCAUCCUGUUCUUGGGAAGCAGAGGCUUUUCUAUUCCUCUGCAGCAUCUCAGAUCUGCUGAGGCUCACUCUGCCUCCUCACUCCUACCACAUUGUUUUCAUACUUAUGAACCAUAAUAUUUAUCAAAAGUGAAGCAUAUUUUAGUUUAAAAUUGAAUUGCUAUCUCACCUUAGUUGCCAGGUUUUGUAUUACCUCAUAUGUCUUCAUGCCAAACACUGUUUGUUUAUUUAUUUAUUCUUUUUAAUCUCCUGUACUGGGUGUAGGGAGUUUGUGGGGCUGUAAUCUGAUUUUUUCCCUUUCCUGUGCUGAGGGAUAACGUGCUGGCUGAAGUUCUAAUCAUUGUAGGCAUUUGCAGAAAUUAUCAGGGAGUUGGUGUAAAACUGUUUUUGAAAACCAUUGCCAUAUUUAUGGUAACAAAAGUCUCUUUUUGGCCACUGGAAGAAGAUAUGAUCAAACCAGCAGUGUUGGUUCUGAUGUGCUAUGUGUUUUUAAUCUGUGAAGUUCCAGCACACCUGUCCUGGCUGGCAGCAGGAACCUCACUGAAACCAAGGGGAAAGUUCCUGCUGGGUGGUAGCUUACAUCUUCAGAUACAGCUGUGCCUGUUCCUAUGUCUUAUGCCAGCUCAGGAGUGAGUGUUUAGGUUACAGUAAAUAUUCCACAACACUUUUAUCUUGACGGGGGGUGCCUUUUUUUUCAUACAAACUUUUAAACCUAUCAGUCACAAUUAUUUUGUAUUUUUGUAUUUUCCACCAAAAGGCAGAAGUUCAUUGAAGUUGAUGCCCUGGAAAGAUGUGAGGUCAAUGGCUGUGACACACAGUCAAUAGCAUUGUGGUGGUUCUCUUUCUUUAAUUAAAUACUUCAUAAAGAUGAGAAACAGCAUGAAAAAUUUAAAGCUUCUCAUUCUUCAUACAGAUCAAGUACAACAUAUAUAGUAAGAGGGUUUGGAGUGCCAGCUUCUGCAGUGUUCCAUCAAAAAGCAGUUGUAUUUCUGAUGAGUUCAUUUUAUGGCUUUUUCCCAUUGAAGUAGUUGUCUGGAAGGAACCACAUUAUUUUACACAGGUCAGGAGAUUCAUGUAUGAUCAGUAGUACCUUUGCUUGCUUGAUAACAGCAUGAUAAGAGCUGUGCUUACUCUGGAAAGGCAGGAACUUUAAAGGUAUAGAUCAUUGGUGGCACACAGGAAUUACCUGCAUCUUUACAGAAGGAGUAAUUUUCUGUCUGUACAUGUUCAGUUUGAAAACACAUUUCUGAAUAGUAUGUCAGCUUGACACCCGCAUUAAAAUUGUGAAUUCUGUGUA